AUGCUCACAGAGCUGCAGAAGAAGCAGCUGCAGCUGCUGCCCACCUGGAUGGUGCUCACUGAAGAGGGCAUUCAGAAGGAAUUCAAAGAGGACAUGAGCCACCACCAGCCCUGUUUAGCAGCACUCAACACAGCUGGGGACCAAAUUCUGCAGACCCUGUCACCUGCAGAUGGAAGCUUCCCGAGGGAGAAGCUGGCAGUCUUAAACCAGCACUGGCAAACCUUCAUCACCAAGGUGAGGGAGAAGCCACAAAGGGCUGUGUCCACCAUGGCCUGGACCCCUCUCCUCCUCCUGCUCCUCUCCCACUGCACAGGUUCCCUCUCCCAGCCUGUGGUGACCCAGCCACCCUCCCUCUCUGCAUCCCUGGGAUCCUCUGUGAGACUCCCCUGCACCCUCAGCAGUGGUAUCAAUGUUGGUGGCUACCACAUACACUGGUACCAGCAGAAGCCAGGGAGCCCUCCCCGGUAUCUCCUGUACUACUACUCAGACUCAAACAAGCACCAGGGCUCCGGGGUCCCCAGCCGCUUCUCUGGAUCCAAAGACUCCUCAGCCAAUGCUGGCCUUCUGCUCAUCUCUGGGCUCCAGGCUGAGGAUGAGGCUGACUAUUACUGUGCCAUCUGGCACAGCGGUGCUGCUCACAGUUGA